rnacentral:rRNA from 1 species
UACGGGGGGGGCAAGCGUUGUUCGGAAUUACUGGGCGUAAAGGGCGCGUAGGCGGGUUGACAAGUAUCUCGUGAAAGCCCACGGCUCAACCGUGGAAUUGCGGGAGAUACUGUCUGUCUUGAGUCCGGGAGAGGAGGGUGGAAGUCCCGGUGUAGCGGUGAAAUGCGAAGAUAUUGGGAGGAACACCGGUGGCGAAGGCGGCUCUCUGGGCCGGUACUGACGCUGAGGCGCGAAAGCUAGGGGAGCAAACGGG